rnacentral:rRNA from 1 species
GACGAACCGUACGAACGUUAUUCGGAAUCACUGGGCUUAAAGGGUGCGUAGGCGGCGCGACAAGUUGGGUGUGAAAUCCCUCGGCUCAACCGAGGAACUGCGCCCAAAACUGUCGUGCUCGAGGGAGACAGAGGUGAGCGGAACUUAGGGUGGAGCGGUGAAAUGCGUAGAGAUGUGGAGGAAUACCGAUGGCGAAGGCAGCCCCCUGGGCCAACACUGACGCUCAUGCACGAAAGCGUGGGGAGCAAACAGG